rnacentral:lncRNA from 1 species
AGGCCCUUUCUUCUGCGCCAUCUUGUGGCAGUUGAGAGCAGGCCCAGGGCAGAAGGGAGGCAGGGGCAUUAAGAGCUCAGGCCUCCAGCUGAGGGACUGCAGAUGUUGGACUCAUGGAGGCAACCACUCAAGGUCACUCUGAGAAGGGUUGAACGUGCUUUAUUAAAAGGACUGAGGAUCAUGUGUGUUGGUGUGUCCCGGAGUCUGCUCUAAGGAAGCCUCUGAUUAGGGCCCGGAACCAACUUCCUUUUCGCAUCUGCAGACUCAUGGAGGCAACCACUCAAGGCCACUCUGAGAAGGGUUGAACGUGCUUUAAAUUAAAAGGACUGAGGAUCAUGUGUGUUGGUGUGUCCUGGACUCUGCUCUAAGGCCCUGUGGCUGCCUGGUGCCCUGGGAAUGGUCCGGUCAUGGGCCUCAGCCCAGGAUGAGCAGCCAACAAUGCAAUCCCACGAAGAGUGUGCGGAAGGGAGAGGUUACUUCUCAAGAUGGAGCUGCCAAAUAGGGACACUUUGGAGAGUCUGGCCUGAGAACUUUUAGUUUCAAGAAUGUAUUGCUUUGGAAAAGACAGAAUAAAAGUCCAAGCACUGCCA